rnacentral:rRNA from 1 species
UCCGUAGGCGGGUAAUUAAGUCAGAGGUGAAAUCCCACAGCUUAACUGUGGAACUGCCUUAGAUACUGGUUAUCUUGAGUUUUAGUGAAGUAGAUAGGAUGUGUAGUGUAGCGGUGAAAUGCAUAGAUAUUACACAGAAUACCGAUUGCGAAGGCAGUCUACUAACUAACAACUGACGCUAAUGGACGAAAGCGUGGGGAGCGAACAGGAUUAGAUACCCUGGUAGUCC